UAAUUUUUUUUCUAUAGUUUUUUCUGUAAUAUUUUGGGAUAUCUUUGUGUAUGUGUCUUUUAUGAUUGCUAAAGCAUUACAUUAUGGACACAUACUUAUUUCAGUCUGCGGAUGUUGACAUUUUAUCAAUUGGAUAAGUUCUUUUACUCUUCAUUAUUUAUAGUAUGAUCUUAAAUAUUUUCUACAUACACUGAAAGUCUUAUUAAUAAUAUUUUUGUCUAAACCAUCAAACAUAACUUAGAGGAUACUGAUAUUUUCCUUGUUUCAUUUUUCAUUUUUUCUUCAUAAUGUUCUAAUAUUCCUUCUUUUAUCAUUUACUAACUGUCCCGAGGAUUUCUUUAAAAUUAGGAUAGGUCUCUGAGUAACAAAUUCUCUUAAUUUUCUUUCCUCUGAGAAUAUCUUGAUUUACUCUUCAUUCCUGAAGGAUAUUUUCUCUACAUGCAGAAUUCUGGGUUGAAAGUUCUUUUCUUUUAGCCCUUGAAAAAUUGUGUGUUACUUUCUUCUGGUUUUAAUAAUUUCUUAUAACAAUUGUGUCAUUCAAAUUAUUUCUCCUCUAGAAAUGGCAACCCACUCCAGUAUUCUUGCGUGGAGAAUCCCAUGGAUGGAGGAGCCUGGUGGGCUACAGUCCAUGGGGUCGCAAAGAGUUGGACACAACUGAGCGACUUCACUUCACUAAAGUGACAUCUUACAAAACAUCUAGUUUUGCUUGUCUAAGCGCUCAAACCCAGACCAAAUGGCUGAUCCCACAUAUCCAUGUUCACACUACUGUCUGAUUGCCUACAUGGUUUUGCAUCUAGAAUUCAGUUCACCAGCAUUCCCUCGUGUCUACAGUUCUUCGAUAACCUAAUACAAAGGAUGAUGCUUCCCUGUUUUAUUUUUUCUUGUGCUACAAAGAAACAAAGAUGUUUUGUUCCUUUGACAUCUUAAUUAGAAAUUAAUGAAAGCAUUGUUCAUUUGCAUGAUUAACUAAAAUU